ACACCGUUGGUGAAAUGGUAUCAUGCAACUUUGCCAUAGUUGCGGCAAGGGUUCGAUUCCCUUACGGUGUA
rfam:Cryptococcus amylolentus CBS 6039 supercont1.9, whole genome shotgun sequence.